ACUUUAUGUCUGCAUACAAUGGCUUCCUAAAAAUUGAAGUCAAUUCCUUUUUUGCUCACAGUCUUGGGCAAUAAAGCUAAAUCAGAUUCUGAUAUGUUUCUAUACAAGCAAAACAAAAAAAAAAAAGCUUUCGCAUUGAUUUGAAAAACCGGUAAAACAGAAAUGUGGGUUUGUUUAAAUUUAAAGCCCAAUGAAGCCAGUAAAUAGCUAUAUGGAAUAAAAAGAGUUCUUAUAGAGGAAGGUUGAAGGUGGAUUCCAGAUUGAGGCUCUGAUUGUAACUUGAAAAAAACAUGUACGAUCCCAAAUCCCAAAGGUUGUUUUUUUUACUCAUGCUGCAUGUUUCCUGCUCUGCGGUGUCUCCUGGAGAGAUGUUUCUAAUCUCAAUGUGGCUUCCUGAUUAAAUAAAGAUUAAAUUUAACCUUUUUUUUACAGUUCCACAGUGACUCACUAAGGAGGAACUGGUCAAAGGCAAACUGAGGACAGAAGUAAUCAGAUCAAACCAUCACUAAUCAAGUCCAAACCAACAGCUGAAAAAGUUUUUUUUAAUUCUGGAAACAUUUUGUGCGUACUCACACAUCACUGAGAAUUGUUGUUUAGGUAUAAACCUGGAUGUUUCAGUGCUUCCUUCCAAUUUAACACAACAUUGUAAUAUCACAGUAAAUGGGAAUUUUAAACACCAGCUGCACAGUCAUUCACACACCGGAACGACUGUUUAAGGGAUGUGAUGACAUCUAUAUUAUCCGGGAACCACAUUUAAAUUUAUUGGACUGAUUUAAACAAGGAAACAAAGGCAGUCAAUUGCUCUUUUUCUUCACCGAGUAUUUUCAUUACAGUCACUCACUGCUGACAAAGCACUCAAACGCCUCUACGAGCCGAGAGUACAGGAAUCCACCUACACAGAUCAACAUCUUCAUUUAAUCCAAAAUAAGGCAGUGGUCUGCAGAGCUGUGCGAAAAUUAAAACAGGUUAAUCAACAUUUUGACCUUAAAUGUUGCCUGGAUCAAUGUACAUAGUCAUUUGGAUGAUCUUUAGUCAUGCAGGUCCUGUCACACCGUUACUUGUUUUACCAUGUAUUCAACCACACCCAGUAGGGGCCUACAAAACCUUGUUUUGGGAAAAGUUACUUGACGUCUUUGACACUAUGUUACCAUGAUGUGGAUCAAUUUGCAUAGUCUGUGUAUAUUGGAAUGAAGGAUAUACAAUUAAUAGUGCUCUAAGAAAAACACCCAGGACAGGCUGGAAUUCUGCAGUAAGAGACAUUGGACAAUGGAACCAAUCCAUCUUUAUUUACAGAGAUUGAUCAUGUCUAAUGAUCAGUGUCAGACAGAAAAACCCAACAAAAAACUAACAAAGACUAUAAUUUAAUUAUAUUAAGAUGAUAAAUAAUGAUGGAGAGCAUUAAAUUAAUCACCUAUGUGAAGAAGAAACACAUGUAGAAAGAUAUUUUCUUUUAUGAAUAAUCCUUCUCAUUGAUUGUGUGGCACCCAGAAAUAAAAAUGUGUCCGAUUUUAUGAGUUGUGUUCUGUCAUCAAUGACAAAACCCAAGUGUGGGGUUUCUUCCACCCAAUUCGGUCUAAAAAUACAGCCAAAAGUGAGAUCAGUGUCAGAGUAAUUUCCUCUAACAAUCGAGCAACAAUUUGAUGAUGAUCUGUGAAUUUUUCCGCCUGACAGUGCACAGUGACUAAAUGGCUAAGUGACUAAAUCAGAACACUAAAAGGAACAAAUGCUCAGUGAACCCUAUGGGUCUUAUCUCCUCAGAGACCCUGUGGUCAGUUCUUAAAUGACAGCAGACGUUUAAACAAACAGUUUACUUUCGGUGUUUACGUCAUGAAAGUAUUAGAGAAUUUUCAGGUAGAAAAUAAAAUGACUUAGUUUCCAAGCUUCUGCAGCAGAGUGUCAGCCUUUGGGGAUUUUCUGCCUCUAAAUGUGCGUUGCAUAUUUACAUGCCAGUGUUUGUUGUCUUUGGCAUGUGUAUCAGUGUAGAAAUGUUUGGGGUGACAUGACUCUGUCACUUCUGUCACUUGUGACAGACGUGUGCAGCAGCAAACAUACUUCUCACUCGGUGUUGUAAAUCCAUUCCUGCCGUCACACUGUGGGGGAACCGACUGUAUUUUAGGAAGAAAAAUGUUGAUUAUGUUGCAUACAUUAGGAUUUUCUUGUUAAGUGAGCAGUAGUCACAGUUAAGGCUGAUGUUGGUGAUGGAAAAAAAAUGGCUGUUAAGUCAGUGUAAAGUUCUUUAAAGUGAUGGAAAUUUAACUGAAUUUAUCUGGUCCUUGUGUGUUCGGAGACUCAGAGCAGCUCUUAGCUCAUUAAUGUAAACACUCUACUAAGCACAGGUUCUGCAGAGCUGCACCGCUGACUCCACCAAAUCCACCGGGACACCGACCGACAUCUCUGCCUUGUUACGCAGCUCUUUAUCCUCCUCUGUCUCUCCUCCUCUUCAUGUGUCCCCUCAGGCUUUGCCUCCCCUCAGGCUUCACCUCCUCCAUCAUCACUUUUGCCCCUUUUCCCCCCCUUCCUCAUCCUCCACCUCUCACCAUCUCCGUCAUCUUUUUUUUUUUUUUAAUUCUUCAACAUCUGCCAACACUUUCUCGGCUGCACACGAGUGAGCCCUCAGAAGUUUACACUGCGGCGCUAAAUAAUAACCACCAUAUGCCAUUUAGUCUUUACAACCAUCGAACUUUCAUCCAGAGUGAUUUAAAGCCAACAGGCCUGCUGUUGAGAGCAUUUCAUUGUGCCAUAUAGUUCAUGAGUUUAAUGAGCUGUAUUAGGAAUUGUCUGUCAGGAUUGAAUUCACAUGUUGGAGUUGUUAUGUUCAGAAAUGGAAAUAAGUCCAUUCAAUCCCCCUUUCUGAGGUCAAAGAAAAAUGGAUAAAAUAACUACAUAAACAAGGUUCAUUAAUGUAACCCCACACAUUCAAAGUUCAGUGCAGUUUCUUGGUAGAUUUGUGUUUUUUUGUUAAUAAGCUAAUGAUUUUACUUCAUCAGGAUUGGGUGACUCAGUGCUUUGAUUCUCUCUGAAGCCGUUAAGUAGCGUUUUUGCUUCAGGUCAACUUCUGUUUUUCUCCAAAAACCCAGUGUUGCUUUCAUGAGGUGUUUUAAAGUGUGUUAUCAAAUUUCUUAGUAUAAUGCUUUCAAAAGACAGGUUACUUUUUUAGUUUAUCAUUUUUUGCGGCAAGGUGUUAAUCCUAAUCUUUCUACUCUCUUUUAGCCUUUUUUUGUCCUCGACUCUCAAUGGAUUCCCAUUAAAAGUAGCAAUGUACUAUCAUUAGUCUAACAGGUCCUGUACCUCAUUUAACGGCACUAAAUCCAACUAACUACUGCAUUUUUGACAUUUUGAGCACAUGACUCACAGAUUUCAUAGUACAUGUUAGUAUAUAGUAUGAAGUGCUGCUAAUUGUGACUAAUCCACUCAAAGUAUGGUGUUUUAUCAAGUCAAGAGCACACCAUAGCACUUCACACUACAUUCAGUUACUCACCCCCGCCCCCGCACGCUUUCACACACUGAUGGUGGUAAGCUACUACAUUGUAGCCACAGCUACCCUGAGGCAGCCAUCCACCGGGUCUUCUGGGGCCUCAUGCAUAAAAGAAUGCGCAGUUUUCACGCCAAAUCACACCGAAUCUGAUGUAGUCCGUGACUGCAUCACGGACUACAUCAGAUUCUGUGAGGACACUGUCAUGCCAGCCCGGACCGUGCGCUGCUUCUCCAACAACAAACCCUGGAUUACCAGUGACCUGAAGGCACUUCUAAACAAAAAGAAGAUGGCUUUCAGGUCUGGAGAUAAGGAGGAGCAGAGGAGAGUCCAGUGUGAACUCAGAGAGUCACUGAGGACAUGCAAGGACAACUACAGGAGGAAGCUUGAGUCCAAACUCGAGCAGAACAGUGUGAAAGAUGUGUGGAAAGGAUUGAAGCAAAUCGCUGGGUUGAAGGGGAAGGACACACAGACAUCUGGGAGCCUGGAUAGAGCAAACCAGUUUAACCAGUUUUUCAACAGGUUUAGCUCACCUACUGCUACUCCCCUACCACCAUCAUCCCCCCACACAUCCACACUGCCCCAAGUUGUUCAAACCACCUACCGACAUUCUCCUGCACACCACCUCUCCUUCCUCCUCUCCUAUUUAGGUGAGUUUUGGCGCUUUGUAGUUUGAUAUUGUCCACAGAAAAAGUUUGCGUGGCUGCCACACAUUUUCACGCCAGCGAAAAAGUGUGCGUAUAUUUACUCAAACUUUGACGCAAAGUUAAUUUUUAUACAUGCCGACUUGUGCAUAAAAUAUGGCGCCGCACAUUUUUUGUGCGCACGCUUUAUGCAUGAGACCCCUGAUCACCACAAGCAGAACAGGCAGAGGAUAUACAGUAUCUUAUCCAAGGACACAAUGAUAGGGAAGGAUGAAGAUAGGGCUCAAAUCGACAACCUACUGGUCACGGAACCAGUAGGUUGUGGUAGCAUCAACUAUCUUUGGUGAUACCAUUAAAAAUUCAUAUGUGGCCCUCAGAGUGAAACUUUACUUGCAUUUUGUAUGGCUAUACAAAAAACAAAAAAGUGAACUGUUUGAAGUUAUGCAGUUACAAAAAUAUUUUUUAUGCAGCUAAUAUAAAGUCACAACGCCAUUAAAAUAAAAUGACUAAAUUAUCUUAAGUGUGAGUUCAAUGUUUAUCUGAAGCUUUGUAGCAGCACUGGUCUUAAAUAACUGAGGAACACAUUUCCAAGAGCCAAACUGAAAUAGGAAUCAUUGAAAUGUAUCUCGAUGUGGCAGAAAUCUUUUUAGAAACGAUGACAAAGUAAACAAAAAUUAUUUCCAUUUUAUAAGUGGAGUGUCGCAUGUCAAAUUGUUUUUCAUCAAUGAAAGAUAGACAUUUUUAGGUUUGAAAUUGUCCUAUUCAUUCAUGGAAUACCAGUAAAAACAAGACCCAUAGGAGAGUCCAGAGAGUUUCUAAGUUUCUGGUCUUCUGUUUGUUUGUUGUGGAGGACUAUAAGCCGAUCAAAGGAAGGUGGGUGUAGGCUGUAGUCGCUGGUUCUUGACAGCAAGUGAUCGUCUCAGCUUUGCUCUAAAGAAAGCAAGGGCUUUAAUUUAUUCCCUCUCAACUCACGCUCUCUGUGUCGGCCUGAGUGUUGUGGAAAGUGCUCAGAUCAUAUGUAAAGCUGUUUUAUGCUAAUGUGUGUCUGUGAGUGUGUACGCACGUUGUUAUAGACUUGUCACACCAGCGUACACAAACUGCAUCAGAGCCUCUCCACCUGGCUGACACCUUGUGUUGCUGCUGCUUCUUUUCCUUCCACCGAUCCAGACAAGGUUUAGGACAAAUGGAAGACCUCUUCAUAGCACUCUGAAUAUCAUGACCCAAAAAUGCCAACCAGAGUACAUCAUCACCAUGAGCAAAGACAAGACCCCAAGGUUUCCAGACCAGACAUCAGUGUCCACCAUAAACAGUGUCCAAGACAAGAUGCAACUCUGGUAUACACAAUGGUUUCAACCAUGUUCCAUUAAAGAUAAGAUUUUUCAGAAACACUCAUAUAAGAGCCUGUGAUACUUUUUACAGAGUGACAAAUUAAUCAUCUCUAUACAUUUUAUGAAAGGAAACUAUAGAGUUUUUGCUUUAAGUGUGUCAACUGCUAGUUAUGUGCUUCAACACUAAGUAUGGCAAAGUUUGGACCUAUUACCAUAGGAAACUCAACAGCUUCCUGAAUCCUAACCCAGUUAAGCUAAAUAAAAAAAAAUGCCACAGAGAGCAUUUUCUGAAAGUGCCAGCUUUCUUCACAAGCCAAAUCACAAAUGUGUGUUUUGAUUCACUUGGAGAUGGCUGAAGUGACCAGGCGUCUGGCGGCUGUGAGGUAGUGUUAAACACCAUGUGAGGGAAACAUCAAGGCCUUUAGCACUCCGUCUGUUGACCACUUGGCCAAAAAAAUGCAUCUUUUUGCACUCUGUCUUUCUCACACCUCUCGGCAAUGUGAUACAAUCGUUUUAUUUAUUUUUUUUUUUUUGGAACUGAUCCUUUUAUUAAACUACAUAGAGGAUUUGGAAUAUUGCAAAAUACACCAUUAAAAAAUUAUUCAUAUAGGACUAAGUAUCUCCAGAGCUCUCUUAAGCAAAGUAUACAGAGCCUGAGAAGUUUUCCCAAGCUCAUUUUCACAGUUUGCCAAAUCAACAAAAGUGGUUGGAAGGAGAAUUCCUGAUUUGCAGCAUUUAUUUGAAGAAGCUUUGUGAAUGGUGGGCAGAUGGAGAACUCGCCGCGAUUGCCAUUACAAAACAUUUAGAGGCCAGCUCGCCAAGUUAGCGCCUGGUCUCAGACAUUUGUUUACUGAGGAAUGGUCCGAUGUAACUGUACUUUUUCCUCAAUGCAUCUUGGCACCACUUUGCUUUGGAAAAUCCUGAUUUACACUCAACACACUGGUCCUUUUGUGCCCUGGUUUUUACACUUUUUUGUCCAAUCCAAGGGCUUUUCACAGGAAUGCUGAGCUGUUUUACUUUAGUUGUCUCUUAUCUUUCCCUUUGAAUUUAAUUUCCAGUUUAAGGAGGUUAAGGCAUAGAAUAUUUUACAACAAACGAUAAAAUCAGGGUCUGCCAAUUGUUCUGAGAGACAUGCAACUCAUUCCUAAUGAUCACUGAGUAAUUUUUCUUGCUCUUUCUGACCUCCCACUAAUCAGACAAUUUAUUUUGACUGAAUUUGAGCUUAUUUUGAUUCACCAGCGCUAAAAUAUUUUACGAAAUAUGUAGAAUAAAAUAUAUUCUAUAAUUGGUUGGAUUUAAUUUUAAAGAGAAAAUCUUAAUGAUGACUCUUGCACUGCUUUUCAAAUAUGUUAUGAUCCAGUCAUAUCCAGUCAUAUUUUGGUUAAGUAAAUCAUGGUGAGUGUGGCAGGUUUUUCACUCCCUCUAAAAUGGAAGUGAGAAAUGUGGGUAUAAUGCAAAACAUAAAGUGUUGGCAUCAUAAAGAUGUCUGUUGAUGUCUAACUUUUAAAAAAAAUAAAAGUUCUAAUUCAUCCAUUGUGCCUACCAAACCUGAUUCUUUGUUAGGUUAGUUUAAGUUUGGAUGGGAAAUGUAAUCUAAAUUGUCAAUUUAAAUUGUAAACUUGGAUUCCUACUUGCAUUCAGUAGGAAGAAUAUAUUUCAGUGUUGAAAUCCAGGUUCCAACUUUUCAUCCGCAAAGAAUUAUUGGCUCUUUAAUUUACACAACUUUCAGUGCAUCUUUUGAAAAGGCAAUUGAACCUCAAAUUAUCUACAAAGACCUGCAAAAUAGGAGAAAAAAAAAUCUAAAAAACGUUAUCAGGUAACCGUUUUCAAUAUCUAGGAACAUUAUAAGAGUUAUUUUCAUACCAACUUAAAAGAAACUCAUAGGAAAUAAUGCCUUAAUCAUAUCAGUAAUGUUUUAGAGAAAAUAUCUGUCUUUCAUUUUCAAUUUAAAUUUGGUGAUUGUGUGCAGUCCAUCUUUCAUGUUUUUUCUGAACCAGGAAUCCUGACCAGACUCCAGCUCCCCAGUACUGGAACUGGAUGAUGUGCCAAUUAUGCCUGAGGUGUGUGCAGGGUUUUGGUCUCAGAGGUCCAUGCACCACAUCCUGCCGGGCUUCAUGCAUCAUUGUGAGAGGUUGGCCAUCGGGUGAUGAAGCAUCCAUUCAGCCCUUCCUGGGGCCUUCCUUUGGCCCCUCCCUUCUUCCUAGUGACAUGCUCACACAGUUGGACAUGAGAGAUUGUCGCAGAAGCUGCAGGGUGCUGGAGAAACACUCCACUUUAAUGCAUUUGUGAAAUACACAAACACUCUGAGAACAAGUCAAAGCAAAGCAUAAAAGGUCUUUGUGUCUAUCCUGCUUACUUUGUCUGUCUUUUUAGGUCACUCACCCAACAAAAAUCGGUAUUCGGGGCUUGCAUGCUUUCUUAUUCUAUCUGAUGUUAAAUGUGAUAAAACAAAACAAGAAUUUUACUAAUAGAGGAAGAAAAUGCUUAAUGACAUACAUCUUUUUGGAGUCUAUGACACCUCCAUCUUUCUGUCCUACAUCCUAGGCUCCACCUCCACAGCAUCCUCAAAUGAUGGUCAGGAGGGGUGGGGUGAGGGUGGCUGACAUUUUGUCAUCUGCUGAAUGCUGAGGUCCCAUUGGGGGGCUAAUGAGUGCCAUCAUUUUUUAGUAAUCAAUAAAUCAUGCCUUAUUGAUUUCUUCUUCCUCUCUCUCCCUCUCUGAGCCAGCUUCUGUUCUCUGAAUGCCAGAGAACAGGAAGGGGAGAGGGGUGGAGCAGUGGAGGGGCAAACAGGUGGGAAUAAGGGAUGGAGCUGAGAAGAGGGGGGGAUUAGUUGGAUGAAAGAGAUGGAUGGAGAGAUUAAUAGAGACAGGAUAAGGGACACAAGGUUGGAAAAGAAAGUACACAGUGGUAGUUACAUUGCCGUUGACCUAUAAUGAUUGAUUUUUGCCCUUUGAUUUAAAGAACCAUAAUAAAAAAUUAGCUGCACAUAGGACCCAUUGGUUGACUAUAAGAUCUGUUUCCCUACAUAAUAGCUUAUUUCUCAAAUUGUCCUGGAUAUUACUUUAUCCAACCAGAACAUUGGAUUAGUUUGACUAAAGUUUUCACUAAAACUCAAAUUAGGGCUCACAGACGUUAACAGAUCAUUGUCCCACACACUUUAUGCUGCUGUCACACAAUUUGUAGAUUUUUGCAUGCUCUCAGUGACACACAAAACCUUUGGCACUGUGAUUGGACUGUGUCUAGAAGCAGUUGAUAGCACUAGAGCAUACCCAUGCAUGCCAAACAUUUUAUAUUUUAUUCGUAAAAUUGUUAAAAUAGUGUAUAACUUCCCUUCACUUUCACCAUUGUGACGGCCCUGCUGUGCGGUCCUGUGUGUGUGCUAUGUGGCCGGUAGAUUGUUUGUCAAUUAAGGUCCUCAAUUGUGGGAGGUGCUUCUGAUUACGUGGCCACCUGGGUUACAUAUAAGGAGCGCCGUUCCACUCAUGUCAGGCUGGCCGACGCAAGAAUCAGGCGCAGACGACCCGGAGAUCCAGGCCCAGCCGAGAUCCGGAUUCGGAGGCGGCGCCGGCAGAUUGCUUGAUACCUUGUGGGAGCUGAGACCUGUGGGGGCCAACCGGGUCCAUGACUGGUAAAGGACCAGGCUGAGGGAACGCUGGAUUAUCACGUCUUGGGCUGGCGCCCAUUGCACCCCUAGACAAUCGGUUGUUUUUAAUAAAUGCCUCUGAAGGGCUAAAAAUGUU